CCAAACACGGUGAUUUGAAAGGCAGAAUAGUGAACAGAAAUCAAAGAAGGAAGAAUAAAAAAGAAAUGUUUGAAAGAGGAAAAUUUGGAGAAGAACGUAAAAAAUGAACAGGAAUUUCGGCAGAAGAGAGAAAAACAAAACAAAAAUAAAAUUUAAUAUUUUGACAAUAUCCCACUAAAUCACAACCCCCAUUAUCCCACUAAACCUUAACCACUUUAGAAUUCUAACUCCACCCAAACACUCUCAAACAACUAGAGCAAAAAUAACAUCCACGCUCGCGCAAGGAUUCAAACACAGAACCUCCAACCCACCAACUGCCUUACCAUUCGAACCAGCAGGCUCAUUCUAAUAUAGAUUAAUAAAUAAUUUUAUAUAUGCC
rnacentral:lncRNA from 1 species